rnacentral:rRNA from 1 species
UCAAGCGUCAAAAGGGCAUCCGGGGGAUGUCUUGGCGGUAAGAGGCGAUGAAAGACGUGGCACUCUGCGAUAAGCACCGGGGAGGCGAGAGCACCCUUUGAUCCGGUGAUUUCUGAAUGGGGAAACCCACCUCCGAGAUGUUGGAUAAUUCGAGCGCUUUGGCGCUCGACGUGUCUAACAUUUCAAUAGUGAGGUAUUUUAACCUGAAUACAUAGGGUUAAAAAGCGAACCCGGGGAAUUGAAACAUCUAAGUACCCGGAGGAAAGGACAUCAAUUGAGACUCCGUUAGUAGUGGCGAGCGAACGCGGACCAGGCCUGGUCUGAAACAAGGAGAAGUAUCUGGGAAGGUACGCCAUAGUGGGUGAUAGCCCCGUAUCCGUAACAUGAAGACCUUUUAGAGUAGGGCGGGACACGUGAAAUCCUGUCUGAACAUGGGGGGACCACCCUCCAAGCCUAAGUACUCCUUACCGACCGAUAGUGAACAAGUACCGUGAGGGAAUGAUGAAAAGAACCCCGAUGAGGGGAGUGAAACAGAUCCUGAAACCGGAUGCCUACAAGCUGAUGGAGCUCUUCGGAGUGACAUCGUACCUUUUGUAUAAUGGGUCAGCGACUUAGUGUUGCGUGCAAGCUUAAGCCGUUAGGUGUAGGCACAGCGAAAGCGAGUCUGAAUAGGGCGACCGAGUACGUAGCAUUAGACCCGAAGGCAGAUGAUCUAGAUAUGGGCAGGCUGAAGGUGCGGUAACACGCACUGGAGGGCCGAACCGUUGAACGUUGAAAAGUUCUCGGAUGACCUGUGUCUAGGGGUGAAAGGCCAAUCAAAUCUGCUGAUAGCUGGUUCUCCGCGAAAUCUAUUUAGGUAGAGCGUCACGAUUAGACUCUGGGGGGUAGAGCACUGAAUGGGCUAGGGGUCCUCACCGGAUUACCAAACCUUCUCAAACUCCGAAUACCCAGAAGUUAUGCGUGGCAGACACACGGCGGGUGCUAACGUCCGUCGUGAAAAGGGAAACAACCCAGACCGCCAAUUAAGGCCCCCAAGUAAUAGCUAAGUGCGAAACGAUGUGGAGGUGCUGAGACAAUCAGGAGGUUGGCUUAGAAGCAGCCAUCCUUUAAAGAAAGCGUAACAGCUCACUGAUCAAGCGCCUCUGCGCGGAAAAUGUAUCGGGACUAAAGUUAUUCGCCGAAAUUGCGGACUCGAAAGAGUGGUAGCGGAGCGUUCCGUAAGCCUGCGAAGGUGACCUGCGAGGGUUGCUGGAGGUAUCGGAAGUGAGAAUGCUGACAUGAGUAGCGACAAACAGGGUGAGAGACCCUGUCGCCGAAAGACCAAGGGUUCCUGCGUAAAGCUAAUCUGCGCAGGGUUAGCCGGCCCCUAAGGUAAGGCCGAAAGGCGUAGCCGAUGGGAACCACGUUAAUAUUCGUGGGCCAAGGGAUGAGUGACGGAUUUCGAAAGUUGUAGCCCCUUAUUGGAUUGGGUCUGCAGCCUGGAAGUUCCUGGAAAUAGCCUCCCAUUAAGACCGUACCCGAAACCGACACAGGUGGUCAGGUAGAGCAUACCAAGGCGCUUGAGAGAACUAUGUUGAAGGAACUCGGCAAAUUACCUCCGUAACUUCGGGAGAAGGAGGCCUCACAUUGGGCAACCAGUGCUGAGGGGCACAAAACUGGGGGUUGCGACUGUUUAUCAAAAACACAGGGCUCUGCGAAGCCGCAAGGCGACGUAUAGGGUCUGACGCCUGCCCGGUGCCGGAAGGUUAAAAGGAGAGGUGAGAGCCUUGAAUUGAAGCCCCGGUGAACGGCGGCCGUAACUAUAACGGUCCUAAGGUAGCGAAAUUCCUUGUCGGGUAAGUUCCGACCUGCACGAAUGGCGUAACGACUUCCCCAC